rfam:TPA: Bos taurus chromosome 4, whole genome shotgun sequence.
UUCCUGAUAGCUCAGUUGGUAGAGAAUCUGCCUGCAAUGCAGGUGACCCAUGUUCUAUUCUUGAGUCAGGAA